rnacentral:rRNA from 1 species
AGAGUUUGAUUCUGGCUCAGAUUGAACGCUGGCGGCAUGGCUAAAACAUGCAAGUCGAAUGUGAAGGGAGCAAUCCCUGAAAAUGGCGAAAGGGCGAGUAAUAUAUUUCUAACGUACCCCGGACUCGACAAUAGUUCGCCGAAAGGUGAGGUAAUAGUCGAUGAUGCUGCUGGGCUGUAUGGCCUGGUUGCCAAAGGUUUACUGGUCUGGGAGCGGGGAAUAUCCUAUCAGGUAGUUGGUGAGGUAAUGGCUCACCAAGCCUAAGACGGGUAGCGGGUGUGAGAGCACGGCCCGCCGCAUCGGGACUGAGACACUGCCCGGACUCCUACGGGAGGCUGCAGUAACGAAUAUUCCGCAAUGCGCGAAAGCGUGACGGAGCGAUGCCGCGUGCAGGAUGAAGCCCCUCGGGGUGUAAACUGCUGUCAGGGUAUAGCAAACAAAUGUGCAAACCCAAAGGAAGAGACGGCUAACUCUGUGCCAGCAGCCGCGGUAAUACAGAGGUCUCGAGCGUUAAUCGGAGUCACUGGGCUUAAAGGGUGCGUAGGCGGGUCUGUAAGUGUCUUGUGAAAUCCCACAGCUCAACUGUGGAAUUGCUCGAUAGACUAUGGACCUUGAGGUUGGUAGGGGUCGCUGGAACUCUAGGUGGAGCGGUGAAAUGCGUAGAUAUCUAGAGGAACGCCGAAGGUGAAGACAAGCGACUGGGCCAAUUCUGACGCUGAGGCACGAAAGCGUGGGGAGCAAACGGGAUUAGAUACCCCGGUAGUCCACGCCCUAAACUAUGUACACUAGAUCGCAGAGGCUCUGACGCCGUUGUGGUCGAAGAAAAAUUGUUAAGUGUACCGCCUGGGGAGUACGGUCGCAAGGCUAAAACUCAAAGAAAUUGACGGGGGCUCACACAAGCGGUGGAGCAUGUGGCUCAAUUCGAAGCAACGCGAAGAACCUUAUCCUAGGCUUGACAUGUAUGGAUUAGAUCCUGGAAACAGGGUUGAGGCCCUUUGGGUACAACAUACACAGGUGCUGCAUGGCUGUCGUCAGCUCGUGCUGUGAAGUGUCGGGUUAAGUCCCUUAACGAGCGAAACCCCUAUCGUCAGUUGCCAACAGGUUAUGCUGGGGACUCUAGCGAGACUGCCGGUGUCAAACCGGAGGAAGGUGGGGAUGACGUCAAGUCCUCAUGGCCCUUACGCCUAGGGCUGCACACGUGCUACAGUGGCGUAUACAAAGCGAAGCGAGACCGCAAGGUGGAGCAAAUCGCAAAAAAUACGCCUCAGUACAGAUUGUGGUCUGCAACCCGACCACAUGAAGUUGGAAUCGCUAGUAAUCGGGGAUCAGCUACGCCCCGGUGAAUAUGUUCCUGAGCCUUGUACACACCGCCCGUCAAGUCAAGGGAGCCGGUAAUACCCAAAGUCGCCCUAAUUCAAGGGUGCCAACGGUAGGAUCGGUGACUGGGACUAAGUCGGAACAAGGUAGCCGUAGGGGAACCUGCGGCUG